CAUUCGAGGUGCGCCGAGGCCGCAAUCGCGAGCAUGGAUGCGGGUUCUGGUGCCUCUACCAGCGAUGAGUACACGUCUGUAGAUGAGGACCGUUCCAACUUAGCAAGAAAUAUAAUCGCUUACGGUUACGAGCCUUCCGCGUCAAGCGGCAAAGAAGAGCGGGCGGCUUGAACGUGCCGGUCAGGCAGUCCGGGCCAGCAAAAUGGUAAUUUCUUUUUCUAGUAAACUUGAAGUGCAGCAGCAGCAGUUCCUAAAAUUAUGUUACGUAGGAUGCAAAAUGCCUAGUUUCGUGACCCGCGUUGAGGCAGAAAGGGAGCUAUUACGGCUGAAUCGUAGGUAGCGUAGCUCGUCGCUUUGUGCUUACCUACGCUGUCGGCUUUCGAUCGCUGCACACUUCGUUUUUACGCGACGAGGCGCGGCAUGUGUAGAAUUUUCCAGCCGUUUCAUAGCCCUGUGUUUACGGCUACUUUCACAUUCACGCCAUUAGAAGCCAUUUACUGGUUGAACUCGUUGAGAUGGGCGGCUGCGCUAGGGACCCGUCGACCAGAUCACUUAGCUACAUCGAUUCUGUGGCCAUAGACAAAGGAAAGUCUUUAGCUGUGACAUUUAAUAGGGAAAUGCUGCGCGAACAACCAAGUCAUGAAACCCGACGCAUGAUUAUGCAGAGACCUAUGAAAAUCCGUAAUUUUUUGCUUGAGAUAAAUGUGCUGCGCAUUUUAGAUUACUACACAUGUAUGCUGUUGUCUGGCGUUCAUUCACUGGCUGUGUUUUGUAUAUUUGAUCAAUUAAAAGAGCGCUCGUAUGCUGUCGUUCAAUAUUAGACGCAGCGAGAGUGCACACAACAUGA
rnacentral:lncRNA from 1 species